ensembl:lncRNA
GUCUUGCUGGAAAGAGCUUCCUAAUAGCACGGCUGUGAGUGAAACCAGCACAGUAUGUUCAGUGUGGAGGUCCUCCUGAUUUCACAUGGAUCCAAACUGUCUAAAAAACUCCCUGCUUCAUACAAGAACAGAUAUGAUAGAUACUGAUUAUCUGCAUGAAUCCACAGGGAACAUAUCUGCUCAGAGGACACCGAAUGGUCCUGAAGUAGAACCUGAGAACCAAUUCAACCAGCGCUGAAAGCAGCCAUGGGACCCAAGGAAGGCAAGUGGGCCCUAGUUAUCACCAUGACCUUCAGGGUUUGUCCCCUUUUCAUACUUCAGAAGGGAGCUUUUAUUGGUGUCCACCGGAAAAAAAGGAAUCAAAAUCCAGGAAAGAGGGAACCUACCAGAAAAAAAAAAUUGCAGAAGACCCUACUAAAACUAGAAGUAAUUACAGUUCAAAGGAUUCAAGCAAAACAAAAACAAAAACAAACAAACAAACAAACAAACAAACAGAAACCUACCAUGAGAACAAAAGAAGAGUGAGCAACCUCACCCCCAAGCAGCCAAGCAUCAAAUUAGGAAAACUAUAGUCCAGAUAGAUUUUAGUCUAGCCAGGGAUGUCAAGACAAGAGGAAGGGCUUCUAUAAACACAUCUAUGCUGAAAGGAAAACUUCAGAAAACAUGCAUCCUCUCCAAAAGAAAUUGCAGACCUGGUUACCUGGGAUAUGAAUAUGGAGGAGACAGCUACUCAACAAUUUUUUGCUUCAGUCUUCACCAGAAAUUGUUCUAGCCACACCACUAAAGUCACAGAAUGCAAAAGCAGAGACUGGGAGAAUAAAAUACUGCCUACUCUAGGAGAAGGUCAAGUUCAAAUCAACCUAAGGAGUUGCACAUGUUGAUGGGACCUGACAAGAUGCAUCCAAUGGGAGUGGUGGAUGAAGUUGCUAAGCCACUUCUCAUAUUUCAGAAGCCAGAAGUUCCCACUAACUGGAAAGUGAAAACAUAGCCCCCAUUUUCAAAAAGGGGAAAAAAGAAGACUCAGGGAACUACAAACCAGUCAGCCACACUUCUGUGCCUGGAGUGGAUCCUUCUAAAACUAUGAUAAGGCAUAUGGAUAACAAAGAGUUGAUUGGUGACAGCUAGAAUGGCUUCACGUAGGGCACAUAAUGCCUGACAAAUUCGUGACCUUCUACGGCGGGGUUAUACUGUUGGUGGAUAAGGAAAGAGUAACUGACAUCAUCUGCCUGGAUACAUUAAUUUGAUGAAUGGAUCACUUGGUGAAUAAGGAACUGGCUGGAUGUUUGCACUCAAAGAGUUACGGUUGGCAGCUGAAUGCACAGGUGGAGGCCAGUGACAAGGGAUGCUCCUCAGGGGUUUGUACUAGGAAUAGCAUAAUUUAACAUCUUUGUUGGUGACACAGACAGGGGGAUUGAGUGCACUUUCCACAAGUUUGUAGGUGACACCAGGCCUAGAGGUGCAGUCAACAUGAUGGAGGAAAGGGAUGACAUCCAGAAGGACCUUGACAGGCUCAAGAGAUGGGCCUGUAAGAAAAACGUGUAUUUCAACAAGUCCAAGUGAUAGGUCUUGCACGUGGGUCAGGGCAAUUUGGAGCAUGAAUGCAGGCUAGGAAACACAUGGGUGAAGAGCAGAACUGUGGAGAAUGACUUGGGAGUACACAUGUUUAAAAAGGUCAACAUGAGCUAGCAAAGUGCAUUUAUAGACAAGAAAGCCAAGCAUAUCCUGGACUACAUGAAAGGAAAUACAGCUGAGAGUGAUUCUUCUCCUUUACUCUGCUUUUGGGAGACCUCAUUUAGAGUUUUGUAUUCAACUCAGGGAUCUCCAGCAUAAGAAAAACAUGGGCCUGUUAGCCUGGGUCCAUAGGAGAGACAUGAAGAAGAUCAGAGGGCUGGGGCACUCUUCCUAUAAAGACAGAGAGAACUGUGGUUAUUCAGCCUAAAGAAGUCUUAAGACUAAAGAAGAGAACUUAAAGAGGCCUUCCAGUAUUUAAGUACUAGAGGUCUAUGGGAAAGAUGGGGAGUCAUUUUAUAUAUGGGAAUACAAUAGGACAAGGGUUAACAGUUUCUCUAAAAAGAAGAUAGGCUUAGAAUUGAUGUAAGGAAUAAAUUCUUUACUCAGAGGGUGGGGAAGCACUCGCACAGGCUUCCCAGAGAAGCUGUGGAUGACUGAACCUGUAGGUGUUCAAGACCAGGUUGGAUACGGCUCUGGGCAACCUGAUCUAGUGGCUGGCAAACCUGUCCAUGACAGAACAGGUGUGGGGCAGGGGGGAGGUAGAAAUGGAUGAUUUUUAAGAUCCCUUCCAACCUGAACAAUUCUAUGAUUCUAAACUAAAAAUUUCAACUGAGUAUUUUAACAAAGUUUGCAGGUUUUCUUCCCCCCUCUCCCUCUUUGGCUACUAUUGAGCUCUUGAUGCUCAGCCAUAAAACUUCAGUAAUAUCAGCAAUAAAGUUUCGUUUUACCUGUCAUCAGAUAAGUAACAGUUUAGUAAUGGCUUGGGGUGAUUGAUGACAAAGUAGCUAAAAAAAUAACUAGUACUAUAAACCCUAUUUACAACAUCUAAGAAGAACCUUGAAAAGAUAAUACUAUGGAUUACCUUUGUGUUAUUUUCUAUACUCGUUAUAAAAUUUGUCACGGGGUCUUUAAUUGUCUCAUUUUCCAUUUUUUAUAGUCUUUGUCAUGACAAUAAGUUUUCACAUAAUUCAGGGUUUGCUAGAUUGAUUCAAACUAUGCAGUAGAAGUCUGAAUGUGUUAGAGAUGUUGCAGCACGAUCGUCUGACUCUUCAACCUUUGUUCACCCAGUGAUAAAAUUUGUGGAGGAAGAGCAAUAGACAAUUUUAUGCCCUCCAAAUGAGCAUCCUUUCCCUACCUGCUAUUUUCACAGCCUUAUUCCUUCCCUUUCCAUGAGCUAUCUGCUUAAGGAUUAACUAAUUCGGAGUCAGGAGUCAGGCCUGCAUGGAUCCCUUCAUGCUGCCUUCAGCUUUCAGUAAUCUGAAGUUUUCUUAGAACUUAGGGGAUCACAAAAUACUCUUCUUUUUAUUUUAAUGAAACCAAGAUCCUUGAAGAAAUCUGAAGGAAAAGGGAUCAUGAAAGUACCUAGAGGCUCAGUAAGAUGUAUAAAACCCUAUUUUUCCAGAUACCAUCAAGUGUGAGUCAGUUCCAAGUUGUCUUGGUGUCUGAAUCAUGAUUUUUUAAUUCCUGUGGUUGGCAGUGUGGAUGAUGAUUGAAAAAGACUGCUGCUAUAUACUCAAAAUCUUGUCUUCCAGCAAAGAUAUUCACAGCUCCUGGUGCGGCUUUAGGGAGGAUUCCUUAGAGCCUAUCUGGCAAAACUCAUGCUUUUUGACUUCUCCAGCUGUCUCACUGACUCCUUUUCAUCCCCUAAAAUUAUGUCUUGGCCUCCAUUAAUCACAUUUGUCAUGUUUUGCCUAUACCAUAGCAAUAUGAUUCUUGUGCACAAAGAUGUUAUAAGUUCAAAGGGUAUGCUACACUACAUAUAGCAUAUUGCUUACAUGAUACUGAUCACUGCAAGCAUGUUUUAUAUUUCUGCUGCUUCUUACUUUAUUUAUUGAGUCUCAGGCAUACUAGAAUAUUAUGUAAAGCAAAAGGAUGAAGACAGUGUAGGUAAAACUGUUUUUCAGAAGCUUUCAUGCAGUUCCAGAAGAGUAAAAUGGCAACUAUGGAAAGAAGAACCACCACAGAUCUCAAGGAAUCAUAGAAAAGACCUUAAAGAUCAUCAAAUCCAACCAUGAUCUAGCCAUACUAGCCUAACUCUAACAACCCUCCGCUAAAUCAUGUCCCUGAGCACCACAUCCAAAUGGUUUUUAAACACAUCCAGGGAUGGUGACACAACCACCUCCCUGCGGAGCCUAUUUUAGUGCUUAACAACCCUUUCUGUAAAGUUGCUUUUCCUGAUACCCAACCUAAACUUAACCUGGUGCAACUUGAGGUCAUUUCCCCUUGUCCUGUCACCAGUGAGAAGAGACCAGCCCUGUUCUCACUGUAGGCACCUUUCAGAUAUUGGAAGAGAGCAAUAAGGUCUCCCCUCAGCCUCCUUUUCCCCAGACUAAACAGCCCCAGUUCCUUCAGUCUCUCUACAUAGGGCAUAUUCUCCAAGCCCUUCACCAGCCUUGCUGCCUUUCUUUGGACCUGCUCAGUGGACCACCUCAGUGUCCUUUCUCUAUUCAGGUGCCCAAAACUGAACACAGUACUUGAGGUGAGGCCUCAUCAAUGCCAAGUACAGG